AUAUAUAUAUAGUUGAGCUAGAAUACUAUCGGUAGCAAACGGACUCCGUUGCCACCCAUUUGUUUUCGAUGAUGGAGCCUCCAAAUCGACGAUCGGCACCAUUAAAUAUAAUCUAUACCACUUGAAGUAUCUAGAAAUCAAAUUUCAUGCUUUUCCGAUAUUGUUCUCUUAUUCAUCAAGUGGGCAUAAAAAUGAACGAUUGAAAAUAAAUAUCCUCUGCAAAGUGAUGAUAGGAAUUUUAUAAUCAUGAUCGAGAGUAUAGAUCUUGUUCUAAAUAGUUUAAAAAAUUUUCUAACCAAAAUUCAAUUGAUUUGGAUAGCUUUACACCGUUAAACGUGAAAACACCUCAUAUCUACCACUAAAAUUACAAAUUUUGAAAUCUUUUGAUCAUUAGGUUAAUAAUUUU
rnacentral:lncRNA from 1 species